ensembl:lncRNA
CCCGCCCUCGCCGGGACCCUGCGCGCUGCGCUGACUGCAGCGGGGACACCUGGGCCUCCGGCGCGCUGCCGCGAGGGGAGGCUCGCAGCUCCUAGCUGGGAGAAGAUCCUCCCUUGAAUCUCAAUGCUUCCUUGAGCAACCGCCUUAAGCAACUCUCCUCUGCGAUGCCCCUGUGCCAUACCAUCCUGCCCAGGAGCCUGCCAACUAUGAACUGAAUCCUCUACAAACUGUGAGCCAAAAUAAACUUUUCCUCCUUUAAGUGGCAGCUGUCAGGUAUUGCGUCUCAUUGACAAGAGAGUGACUAAGACAUGCAUACAUGUAUCUGUUUAUGACAUAAUAUUUAAAAGGAUAUACAGAAGUGAAAUUAUCAUCCUACUUUUCUGAGCUCAGUUCCUCUUCUGUAAAAUAGGAAUGAUAAUUCCGCUUUCCUUACAGUGUUGAAGAUUUGGUGAGACAGCUAUGUGUGUUUCAUCACAGGGGAUCUUCAUAGAAACAAUAGCAAUAACUUGACAUAUAAUCCCACUGCCUCCCUCCCAAUAAACUUUAUCUGUAUUUCCAAUAAUCUGUAUUCAGAUCACAUCUGAAUCAUAAUAAACCUUGUUAGAACAUUUUAACAAGGAAUAUUCUAGAGGAACAUUCUAGGGGAAGGGUGCUUGAUUUUACUUACCAGGGGGCCAGAAUGCUGGUUUUCUAGUCACUUAGCAACCACCCAGCCUAGCUUUCUCUGUGUAAUAAUGGGGUGAGCAGUUCUCAGGAUUUCAUUUGUUUGCAAAUAAGUGAGAACUAAAUAUAUUUGUGAGUGUGUGUGUGUGUGUAAAUUAUACAGAUAGUUUGUGUGCGUCCUGUUCCUCCUGACUAAGCUGAUAUUAUCAGUCAAGUCUUCAAGUCUUCAUUGGUAGGUGUCUACAGAGGGCUUUGCUCCCUUUGGAUGACCUCUUCAAACUGCCAGAAAAUCUAAAACAGGUACUGGAAGUAGUUCUUUUCUCCAGUUGGGAGCUCUUAUUCACUUCCACCAUUGCAUUCACUCCAUAAUUAGUACUGAUGUGACGGAAAAGGAGUUUAAAUUCCCUUUGGUAGAAGAGGCACUUUCAGCUUCAAGUCCAAAAUCUAAAACCACUUUCUGGGUAGCAGUAUCAAAUAGUCCCUACACCCACUUUAUCUCUAUCUCCAUCCUAUUCCUGCCUACACCCUAUUGUGUGGGGGGUGGAGGUGAGAAAGGAUUAUUUAAUUUAAUCAUAGCCUAUGUUAUAUGAAUUUCACCUGUGAAUUUCAUCUCAGAACCCGUGAUGAUUUAAAUAGGUAUUGUUUGAAGUGUUCCCUGAUGAAAUAAAAUGGGAAUCAGAAUUCUGGAGGGUUGACUAAAAUCUCACCAGUAACAAGUAAUACCUGUAAUUCUGCUAAGAGUAAACCUUAGGAUUCUCAUCACCUAGUUUAAACAGCUUUGUGGUUUAACUUAAAUCUCAUUCUCUUUUGUGUCUGAGGUCUUUUCCCUCUGAAGUACCUCCACUUGAUUCUACACUCUCCUGAUUUACUUUUUUGGAUGUCUAUACACAGAGCUGGGACCUGUUUUUUAAACCCUUAAUUUUGAGGUUCUAUCAUCACCUUGAAAUCUUUCCCAGCCAUUUCCCUCCUCUCCCUUCCUGCCUCAGGAGCAGAUCCAGGUUGCUCAUUAAUUACACAUUUGAGCCUUGGUAAUAAUGAAUGCAAUCUGGGAAGGUUAGGCUUGCUGUGCAAGCAUGUGAUUAGUCACACCCACAGAGAGGAACACCUUGCUGGAGAAGGCCUGCUAGCUCAGUUACAGCAAUGGUCAAGAAUGCCAAAGUCCAGUGAAGGAUGUAACUCAGUGGUAGAGUGCUUGCUUAGCAGGCACAAGGCCCUUGGUUCAUCCCCAGCACUGAAAAAAGAAAAGAGUAAAAAAUAAAAAGGGCCUCACCUGGAGGGAACUAAAAAAAAAAUUACCAAGGUCAAGUGUUUUUGUCUUUGCUCAGCAGUAACUUCAACUCCAUGUAUGCUUUUUUUUCUGAGGCCUAUUCUGAGAGCCAAGGGAGAGGUGAGACACAGGGCUGCCUAUUUCUACUCCUAGGAAAAAUACACAUGCUGAUUACUGACGGUGGUUAAAAAAUGUCCUCUUCUUAAAUGAAGACAAUACAUUUUUGGGCCUGGGAUUUAGCCCAGUGGUUCCAUUGCCUGCCUUGCAAGCGCAAGGACCCAAGUUGGAUCCCCGGUACCAAAAAAAAAAGACAGUACAUGUUUGUGUAUGUAUAAAUACAGACAUCCUUUUGUUUUCUGUACUCCACCCUCUUCAAAGUAGUACUGUCCUGACUUCUGCAUUGAAGUCAGUGAGUAGGCAUGGGAUUUGUCUAAUGUGUAGUCCCUGUCUGAAGUUCAAGUCAAAUCUCACCUCUUCUAGUUCUUGCCCUGGUCUCUUUACUUUUCUAAUCAUAUGAUUGACACUUAAGUAGAGCCUAUUACCUUUGGUUCUUUUUCUUUUUUUCUAAACGUAUUAUGUUCCCAGCUGUGUCACUGUGUGACCACAAGUAGAAAAGCCCCUUGACCCUGCUGGGCCUCAGUUUUCACAUCUGUAGUAGGGGGUUAUGAUGAUGUAAAUUCCUACCCAAGCUCUGCGUCUUCCUGUGUGAAGAGUGCCGUAUAAACCCUCAACGUUGUGUGAAUGGGAGUGCUACUGUUACUCAGAGCCAAAAUCUUCUUGACGACAGAAACCAGGUCUGAUAACCUCUUUUAGUUCUAUACAGGAUGCACUCAGUAAAGAAGAAGGGACAAAGAAAGGGACAGGAAAAAAAUGUUUUGUCUAAUUUUAUAUCCAAUUUUCCUAAUUCUCUCCUUUACUAUAACUACAUCAGGUGGAAAUUAUUUAGUUUAUAAAAGGCAUUUUGCACUGGGUGGCUUGAUGACUUAUUUUUCUCCAUCAGCCUCUACAUGUCUUUCUCCCUCAGCUGGCAUAGUGGUGAUGUUGGCAUUAAUUUUAUCAUUUGGUUUUAUGUCCAUGAGGAAAGAAGUUGGAAAGUUCCUGAGAGCUCAGAGUUCACAUAGCCUAUUUCACAGGUGAGGUCACCAGAGAGGUGAAUGAAACCAAAGUGCCACAUUAGUGGCAGAGCAAGGUCCAGAGCCUAGCACUUUGUUCUACACAGGGCAUAAGCUGACCUUGACUCAUGACGUAUCAGUAAUCAUUUCUGCCUGCCUUUGGAGGUGUUUUAAGGUCUGACUAGUACAAUAAAGCUCUUUCCCAAAUCAAGGCAAGGAUUUUUGUUGUUCAUGAAGAUUUAAAAAUAGAUUCCCUGAUGCUGCAACAAUCGUACUUCCUACCUGCUCUCUCCACUUUGAGUUUAUUUACAUAUGUGGCUAAAGUGGGAUCACAUAAAAGAGUGAAAAUCUCUUUCUAAUUGGUAUACACAUCAAGUUUAACAAUGUGGUGUGCUGCAAAGCUUAGAGUUCUGGGCAUACAGGGUUUGAAGGAAACCCCAGCUCUCUUUGUGUCUUUGGCUUCCUUCACAGGGCACCAUGUGCCCAGCCUAUCUUUCACCUUUUUUUAUCACUGCUCUUCCUGAGGUAUCAGCCAGAUAGAGAGAUGCACAGGGCAAAGUACGAGAUAUGCGUGCUUCUCUGGGUGCAGCACCCUCUACCCAGAGGGUAGCUUUAAUUCUCUUUUACUUUGAAGCAAUAUAGUUUCAGACAAGUUUCUUAACUUUUGUCAGUCUCAGUUUUUUGUCUAUAAAAUGCAGAUGUUAGUGCUCCCUGGAUUUUUUGCUGGAUGAAGAUAGAAUUGCAAGUAAACAUAGAAAAAGGUAUUGGAGAUACAAUGUUUAUUUCUUCUGUAACACUUCCAUUAAGUCUAAUGAAUUAAUUGUAAUACUUUAGUUUUUUUAUAUUCACAUAUUUUAAAAAUUAUUAGGAGGCAUUUUGAUUUUUCUAAACAUGAUCUUAUUCUUUCUUGCUGCUUUUCAUUUGAUUUUCCAGAGCUUGGUUGAGAACUUUCAGAAAACUUAGUUUGUAAUUUAUUCCUUUUGGAGAUUUUUCUUUCUCUUGGUUUAAAAAACCCACAAAGUUGGAAAACAUUUCUAACUUUAACUUUGAAUUGCCUUUUUAAGAACUGUGGUUCAUUGGUUUAAAGAGACAUCUCUUGGGACAAAUGUAUAUUUUUGUACUGCAAACAUCAUGUCACAAUUUUGAACAGCUAUGUAUAUUUUUCCCUAAUAAGGAAAAAGCUUGGAGAUUUUUUACUUUCUCACUUUUUGAGUAAAGAAAAUAUUUCUUAAAAAUAAAUUUCUGAUCUGUUCGAAAAGCAGUAUAAAAUAAAUGCAGUACUAAGGUGGAAUUUGGUCCAAUAUCAUCACACACUGAGUGGCAGAUACAAGCUGGGUGCUGGGAAUACAGAAUAGAUAGGCAUGGUAUCUCUAUCUUUGAAGAGAGCUCAGGCUUGUCAGGAAGAUAGAUAAGUAAGCAGACAAUUGUUCUAUAAUCAGAGUCCUGGGAGAUCACAGAGGUAAAGACUAAACCUAAUGUGAGGGGGAAGGCGUAAUCUCAUUUUCCCAAACAAGGUGGACCUGGACUAUGUCUUGAAAGAUGAGUAGGGCUUUAAGAAGUACAGAGGGUGGAGGAUGUAGCUCAGCAGCACUGUGCCUGCCUUGCAAGCACAAGGUCCCGAGUUCGAUCCACAGUAGCAUGUUCCAAAGCCAUAGAAGUGGUGAGAAGAAACUUUAAGGAACUUCAAGGUAUUGUAUGGAGGAAUGGAAAGGAAGGUUCAAAGGGCAGAUCUGGAGGGACAAAUGUAACACUGAGGGGUCUGAAUUUCAUCGUUAGUGCAGUGAGUACAUCCUAGGAAGUCAUAAACUGAGAGAAGACCUUAGAGUUCAGAGCCCAGGAUUUUAUUUUUUUAGGUGUGGAAACUGAGGGCAAGGAGAGAGAGGCGAGUUUCUCAUGUUAUUCAUGGCUGAUGAUGUAUGUCUUUACAGUGGCGAGUAGAGAAGGCUGUGGGAAGCAAGGGCCUUCACAAUGAAAUUUCAGUGUUGACUUUGAGAAGGCAGAUUCUCAUAGGAACAUUUUGCCAAGGAUUUAUCAUGAGGACUGCAUGGUUUGGGCUAAUGACCCCAGCAUGCCUUUUUGCAUAGUAUUUCCUUUAAAGGAAAGGCCAUCACUAACUAGAAAUGCUCUUUGGCUAUUUUUAGGUUGUGUGGUAGGGGGAAUUAGUGGAAUUCCUAAGGUCAGCUCCAGCUGUUCUGUUUUUCUCCAAUAGACCAGCUGAAUAUUUCAUGAGAUUUGCUCAUUAGGGCUUUCGUCCUUCUGUGAAGCAUUGUACUGAGCCCUAGUCAGGCUGGCCUGGGAAAUAAAUAAAGGAACUGGAGUCUGGGGAAAACUAAACUGGACCCGAGAUAGUUGCUGCCUCCAAUUUUGAUAUUUAAUAUUAAUAUUCAAUGCAUUGUAGGAUAUGGUCAGUCAUUUCUCCCACCUUAUCACAUAGUGAAUGUCCUUCUGAAAUAUACCUUGGAGGAUAACUGGAAGAUUCUGAAAUGUCAUAUACAAAGAGUAUUGCAUGAUGCCUGGGCAGAUGUGGUUCUAACUAAUUACAGGGUAAUUACAUUACCAAAUAAUAGCAACUUUUACUCAAGAAUAUGGCCUCAUAGCCUGUCACCACUUCCCGGCUAUCAAACCAUUCUUUAAGAUUCCUCCAAGGGGGGCUUGCCUAUGGUUAUUUGGUAUCUACAAGUGAACACUGCUUCUAUUAUGUCUUAGGGAUCCUAUGAAGGUAAGUAAAGUGUUAGCUUUCUACAUUUCUUUGGCAGUGCACUAUGAACUUUUCUGUUUUCCAAGCUUAUCAGUGUCUUCUUGGAACCCAUGCUGUUAGAAAGUGAAUGGAUAAAUGUAAUUGUAUAGUGUUUUCAGUUGACAAAGUACCUUCCCAUUCAUGGUCUCCUUGGCUCCCUGUGCUGAUUUUUCCAAGGGAAGUGGGCAAUGGUUGGUCCCAGUUUUAGAAAUGAGCAAACUGAGGCUCAGUUAAGUGCUAUGUUCAUGGUCACCAAUAGGAAAAAAAGUACCAAAUUUCUCUUUCAGCAUAAAGGUGAUUUAAAGAAUGUGUUUAAAGGAAGAUCAUUCUGUUGUAUAUACUUAUGAUGAAUGAAGGAGAAUCCACAGCAAAGGAUUUUUAAACAUAGUGAAUGAAAAUAACUUUGUUUCACUAGCUCUGAAACAGUGGUUGUCUAAGCUAGAACUCAAUGACAUUAAAAUAACAAUGUAUCGUCUAUGCUAAUGAAAACAAUAUUUAUUACUGUUGGUUGGGAUAAAUAGUGGUAUAUAACCAUUAAACAAUGAGUGCAUCUUGCAAAAGUUUCAUCUAAAGAAUUCUGUUCAAGAAACACUAAACUUGCUGGAAGAUAAGUUAGGUACAACUCUUGAAGACAUUGGCAUAGGAAGACUUUAUGAACAAAACCUCAGUAGCAUGGGAACUAGCACAAAGAAUCAACAACUGGGAUCUCAUCUUAUUAAAAAGCUUCUGCACUGCAAGAGAAACCACCAACAGAGCUAAGAGACAACCUACAAUGUAGGAAAAAAAAUUUUUAGCAGCUGUACCUCAGACAAAGGAUUGCUAUCUAGAAUAUAUAAAGAACUGAAAAAAAUCAGACCCCCCAAAUUAAAAGACCCAAUUCAAAAUGGGCAUCUGAAAUGAGCAGACAUUUCUUAGACAAAGAAGUAAAAGCAGCAAAUAAAUAUAUGAAAAAAUGUUCAACAUCACUGGUCAUUAGAGAGAUGCAGAUGAAAAAAACACUGAGAUUCCACCUCACUCCAGAAAGAAUGGCUGCUAUCAAGAAAUCAACCAAUGGGCCAGGGAUUUGGCUAAGUGGUUCCACUGCCUGCCUUGCAAGCAGAAGGACCCAAGUUCAAUCCCUGGUUCCAAAAGAAAAAAAAAAAAGAAAUCAACCAAUAACAAAUGCUGGCGGGGCUGUGGGGCGAAAGGAACCCUUCUCCACUGCUGGUGGGAGUGCAGACUGGUGCAAUCACUGUGGAAAUCAGUAUGGAGAUACCUCAAAGAACUAGGGCUAGAGGUCCCAUUUGACCCAACUAUUCCCCUGCUGGGUAUCUUCCCUCCAAAAUUAAAAGACUCAUACCACAGUGCUAUAUGUACAUCCAUGUUUAUAGUGGCACAGUUCAUAAUAGCUAAAGCUUGGAAACAGCCCAAGUGCCCAUCAACGGGAAACUGGAUAAAGAAGAUGUGG